GGUAGCACGAUGUUUUCUCGAAAAAUUGUUGUAAAAUAUGUUCGAAACUUUUGCGAAUAUAAGAAUCAAUAUAACUUUUGGUGAUUUUUUGUAAUCCCAGCAUGUUCGUCUGGCCACUCUAGUUAUUCAAUCUGAAUGUUUGCAUGAAUUACACACACCAGUAGGCAGUGGGACAAUACCAUUGGGACACAUAAAGGUUACUGUAACUGUACUACAUCGUUAUAUUAAACUGCAAGUAACUCAGUUUUUGGUCUUUUAUCGUUUGUUUAAAAUUUUAUUGGAACGAUAAUCUUGCGCUAACUCUACUCAUGACAUUCAAACGUCAACACAAUUUCAAUUUCAAUUUGAGAGACAUACUAAUAUAUGCGACGGUCAUGUUCAUUUAUAUUGAGCAGGCCAUUACAAAAAGCCUUGAUGAAGUGGGUAUCAUUAAAAACCAUGCAAAUGAGUCAAUAACAUCGCAAGCAGAACAUCGUCGAAUGUGGCGAAACAUGUGGACAACUGGAAUCUUUGCCAUUUUUUUUGCUGUUCUUUCUUUACUAUUCCUGAUAAAAUUUUGGCAAGAGACUCAAAGAACAAAGCGAAUUAUUCACAGUUUUGCUGACAUUUAGAAGGUCAUUAAGUGUUGAUAGUUCUAUGGGAAGAUUGUACACAAUUCACACAUUUUUCUUUGCUGAAUAUUUGUUAUGGAAAUGAAGGAGUUGCUCAUUUCCUUGUCGAUGGUUUAAGUUAAGAAAUUAUGAUUUAGUCAUUGCUUGAAUUGUGCUAAACUGUUCAAGCAGAAGAUGGUGAAUCUGUGAGAAGAAUACAUAUGUACACACUUUUAUAUGAAUUGCUAAAAGGUAGAAAUGGCUAUUAUUAUGGAUGUCUUCCACCUAGCUAUUACUAAUUAGGGCACUUCAGGACUCAGAUGCACUAUACAAUAUUGCUUAUAACUUGUAAUUUAUGUUCAUUAAGUUGUGAAAUGUUAGCCUCUUCACAGUA